GGCGAGUGGUGCAGGUGGAGGCGGAGGGCGCGGGCCGGUAGGUUGAGUAGUAGGUCGGCUGAAGCUGACCGACGGAAGCAGGGGUGGGCGCACAGAGCGCGAAGGGUGCGGGGAGAGUUGAGGCAGGGGAAAGAAGAACGAGCAGGAACGUGAGUUUGGGCUGGUGGCUGCAAAGUUUUGGUUAGGGAGCCCGAGAAAGGGAAAGUGCCCUCCUGGCUGUCACCCCAGCACCUUCACCGCCACCGCUGCACGAGGUGUGUCUUAGGCACAGCAAGUCCUAGCUUGAGAGAAAACAAAGAUUGUUUUGACGGACAAAGUACGAGUGCAGGUGUAUCUCGGUGCAUGUGUUCUAGAAAUGUAUCAAUCAUUUUAAUCGCCCAGAGAGCUAGCUAGCUAAAAGAAAUUUGCAGCGAUUCCUUUUCUAUAAGAGUUCUUUUAUCAAAAACAAAACAAAACCCACCCACCGAUGUCUCUUUUAAGUCUGUUUUUCCUUCUUUAUUUCAGUUAAUGCAUGCUAACAAAAUUAUUACAUCAGCCAAAACUUGUAAAAUGGAGCCACAAAUAUUAUGUCCCUCAUCACCCUACCUACAAGAUUAUCAUACAGGUUUGCAGCUUUCUAAUAUAAAAAAGUUAACACUUCAUUUUAAUUUAAAUAGUGAGUUGAGAAGCAAUUGAAUUGAAGUUGAGACACAGUGUAAUCUAGAAAUACCGGCUGUCUCCCAAAAACGUUAAAUUCCAGGUUCUGGGCAGCAGUUGCAAACUCAAGUACCCCUCGUUGCCAGAGAUUAAUUGAUUCAGUGACUGAUAAGAAUCAGUCGUGCUAUCAUCCCUGAUUUGAGUUACUUUUUUUAGUGUUUACAUAGUAGAAAGGGCCUUUUUCUGAGUUACUCAUAAAUAUGCUGACACCUAGCACAGUGCGUGCACUUAGUAGAUACUCAAAUACUUAAGAAAAUAUUUGUUGAAUAAAUAAAUGUUUGCAUUACUGAAUAAAAUGAAAUAAUUUUGCCCUAAUUUACCUUAUUUGCAACUGCAGUAUAUUUUCCUAUGUCAGUUGUUUUCUUGUUGUCCAGUGGCUCCAAUCUCUGAAUGUGCUUUGACUAUACUACCUUUAUUAGUACCUAGUCUCUGCUUUCUGGAAUAAUUGUUACCUGCAUCUGAGAUUUGCAGAUAAGAGAGAAUAUUUGCAGAAAUCUUACCCACUCUCUAAAACUCUGCUCUAGGCCAGGCGGGGUGGCUCAUGCCUGUAAUCUUAGCACUUUGAGAGGCUGAGAUGGGCAGAUUGCUUGAGCCCAGGAGUUCAAGACCAGCCUGGACAACAUGGCACAACCUGGUCUCUACGAGGAACAAAAACAAACAAAAAAAAAAACACAAAAAAAAUUGGCUAGAUGUGGUGGUGUGCACCUGUAGUCCUAGCUACUCUAGAGGCCGCGGUGGGAGGAUCACUUGAGCCUGUGAGGCUGAAGCUGCAAUGAACCGAGAUCAUGACACUUCAUUCCAACCUGGAUGACUGAGGGAGAUUCUGUCUCAAAAUAAUAAGAAUAAAAUAAUAAAACUCAGCUCAACUGCCUUCUUGUUUAUGAAGUCAUCUCUGAUCUCCCAGACGGGAACUCAAGUUCUAAACUUCAAUAUUACUUUAUU
rnacentral:lncRNA from 1 species